GCUGGCGUAGCUCAGUCUGGUAGAGCAGCUGAUUUGUAAUCAGCGGGUCGGGGGUUCAAAUCCCUUCGCCAGCUCCA
rnacentral:tRNA from 1 species